CGCCCCUGUGGGGAACCGUUCGUUCUUUCUUCCAGAAAGGAACCGUUGCUAGACUCAACACAUUCCUUUAAAUCUGACGGUGAGGCCAUCCAGAUCAAAAAUACGGGACUUUUAACAGGUAAACAACAAGAUGUUUACACAUUGUUGGCGUGUUAACAACAUAUUAUCAACAACAUGUUAACAUGUUGACAGCGUAUGAAAAUAUUCAUGUUUUUUUUUUUUUUUUUUUUUAACUAAAUAAUCCUUAAAAUAAAGAGGCAUGGCCACAGUUGGGUCUGGUUCUGGUACUGACCCGUUCCAAUGAAUUGAGCUUAGACUCUAAGUAAAUCAGUUUUUAUCAACAUAAAGAGGAGCUGACUGGUUCUGACUUCCUGUCUGAUCCGUCAGCUCCGAUCUGGACCGGACCAGACCAGAUCCGGUUCGGUAAGUGAUGAGGCCCACAGGAACUCCAGAACACGGCUUUAUUCACAGCUACGCUACGGCUGAAUACAAAACAAGAAGCAACACAUUAGAUUUGGCAAAAUGAAUCUUUGAAAUCGGCGGCUGCAGCAGAGAGAAGCACUAUAUGAGGAGAAAACCACAGAAGAAGAAGUCCUCCUCACAGCAGAAGACAGAUUGAUGGAUUCAUCCGCUGCUGAAAGUAGUCCCAGACAAGUCCAAGAGUCAACCUGAAAGCUCGUCGGGUUUCAUGAUUCUGUGACUGAACUCAAAGUUUUUCAAUGAAACAAAAAUAUACAGAAAACAAUCAGAACACUCAAACAGAUCCAGUCCUGGUCCGAAGUUCUGAUCCGGCCCGGGUUUUCCGUCCAAGCAGCCAGAAAAAUCCAACAUGAGCCCAAUCCGGCUCAGACGUCCCAGUGGUUCUGAUGGGGCUGGGAUGGACCGGAUCAGUUUGACCAGUUUAAUUUGGCUGCAUUGAAGUAGACCAUGAAGGACCGGAUCAGAACCUUUAAACAGAACCGUUCUUCAUUCUGGUCUUUAGUGAACA